UGCCAGCCGCCGCGGUAAUACGGAGGGUGCAAGCGUUAUCCGGAAUCACUGGGUUUAAAGGGUGCGUAGGCGGUCAGAUAAGUUAGAGGUGAAAGGUUGUCGCUUAACGAUAAAAUUGCCUUUAAUACUGUUUGACUUGAAUUAGGUUAAGGUAGGCGGAAUGUGACAUGUAGCGGUGAAAUGCAUAGAUAUGUCAUGGAACACCAAUUGCGAAGGCAGCUUACUAGACCUUGAUUGACGCUGAGGCACGAAAGCGUGGGUAGCGAACAGGAUUAGAUA
rnacentral:rRNA from 1 species